CGGGACACGUGGUAUCCUGUCUGAAUAUGGGGGGACCAUCCUCCAAGGCUAAAUACUCCUGACUGACCGAUAGUGAACCAGUACCGUGAGGGAAAGGCGAAAAGAACCCCGGCGAGGGGAGUGAAAAAGAACCUGAAACCGUGUACGUACAAGCAGUGGGAGCACGCUUAGGCGUGUGACUGCGUACCUUUUGUAUAAUGGGUCAGCGACUUAUAUUCUGUAGCAAGGUUAACCGAAUAGGGGAGCCGAAGGGAAACCGAGUCUUAACUGGGCGUUAAGUUGCAGGGUAUAGACCCGAAACCCGGUGAUCUAGCCAUGGGCAGGUUGAAGGUUGGGUAACACUAACUGGAGGACCGAACCGACUAAUGUUGAAAAAUUAGCGGAUGACUUGUGGCUGGGGGUGAAAGGCCAAUCAAACCGGGAGAUAGCUGGUUCUCCCCGAAAGCUAUUUAGGUAGCGCCUCGUGAAUUCAUCUCCGGGGGUAGAGCACUGUUUCGGCAAGGGGGUCAUCCCGACUUACCAACCCGAUGCAAACUGCGAAUACCGGAGAAUGUUAUCACGGGAGACACACGGCGGGUGCUAACGUCCGUCGUGAAGAGGGAAACAACCCAGACCGCCAGCUAAGGUCCCAAAGUCAUGGUUAAGUGGGAAACGAUGUGGGAAGGCCCAGACAGCCAGGAUGUUGGCUUAGAAGCAGCCAUCAUUUAAAGAAAGCGUAAUAGCUCACUGGUCGAGUCGGCCUGCGCGGAAGAUGUAACGGGGCUAAACCAUGCACCGAAGCUGCGGCAGCGACGCUGAUGCGUUGUUGGGUAGGGGAGCGUUCUGUAAGCCUGUGAAGGUGUGC
rnacentral:rRNA from 1 species